CUCUGGAAGGUCCUGCAGAUGUGAAACUGGGUGGUGGUGUCACCUGCUGACAGCGGUGGGUUUUUCUUCCCUUGGGUGCCAUGAGGGUGAAGAGCUGGGGCGAAUACUUGGAGGACGGGCACUUGGUUUGGUUCUGUUUUCUACAUGUCCAUCUCUACUGGGUUAUCCAUCCACCGGGUCACAUAUUGUCCUUGAGUUGCCCACAAGUCCUGGGGAUCUACCAAAAUGUCCCUCUCAACAGCGGUGACUUCCUGGUCUUGGGUGGGGGACAGUGAGCUGGAUUGUGUCCCCGAAGUUCCGCUCAACCCCUCCUUUUGACUCGGCACUUGUUCUUCCCACCUGGUCUCAAACAUAGACUAUCUUCACAGACUUCUCGGCUUGGUUCCCCCUCCCCUAGAAAACGUCUUGGUUGGGAGUGGAGACACAUACUCACACAGACCCACAACAGACACAACACACACAAACACACAGAGACACACACAGACACAUACACACCCUGACACACACAGAGAGACACACAGACACAUACACACACUGACACAUACACACGGGCACACACAUAUAUAUUCACACACAUACACAGACACAACACACACAAAAGACACAACACACACAAACUUACCCACACAGAGACACACAGACACAUACACACACUAACACAUACACACAGAGGCACACAUACACAUGUUCGCACAUAUACAUAGACACACACAGACACACACAUUCACACACAGAGACACACACAAACACUAAUAUAUACAGACACACAGAGACACACACACACAGACACAAACACACACAGACACAGACACACAGGCACAAACACAAGCACACUCGUUCAUACCCAAGAGGGUCUCGUGGCUACUGUGGCCACUAG
rnacentral:lncRNA from 1 species